AUAGUACUCCAUUCGAAGCUUUAGGUAAUUGUUGAACACACACCACAAUUUUAGGACGACAAGGAAGGGCAUGACCAGGACUACUGCUGACUGGCUAGUCAGACUAGAGCCGUAUGUUAUAGAAUGGGAGACAGCAAACACAAAUCUAUGGCACGAGAAUCACAAUUUCGAUCUCGAUGAAUUCAAUCUCUAUUUGCGGCGCUACAUGACCGGAACACGGUUACGCAUUGUUGAGUACUCCCACCCAGAGGAGAUACCGGAUCCUACUCCGUCGGAUAUGUACCCGAGCUAUGAUACUUCGGGCUCUAGGCAGUACGCGGCUACCUUAACACGCGAACUCUACGACGACGUGACCACCUUUGGACGAUCACUAUUGUCUGGACCUCUUUUCAGCAUCGUCCAGUGCUACAACCCUUCUUCGAAAGAAUUCAGAAUAAGAUACGGACUGUGUACGAGGCUAUCACGUGCACCCGGAGAACCGAUGUUGUUCAGCACCAGCAGGAGCAGCCGCGUCACUCCAUGCACCGACAUCAACCACGUCCACGUCUAGCACAUCAGCCGACAACCAGGCCACCCCGUCCUGACCAACCUGGCAGUUCUACGUGGCACCCGCAGCACUAUGGUCCCACAUCGAGCUUCGUGUUUUCUCCACAGCCACAGCAACACGGUCCCUCGCCGAGCUUCGUGUUAUCUCCACAGCCACAGUAGCACGGUCCCUCGUCCAGUUUCGUGUUUGAGCCAGAGCAGACGUCACAGCCAGCAGGAGUCUAUGGAUAUCAGGCGUCUAUGUCGGCAUCACAUGAUACGUGGGGGAGUGAUCAACAUCCCGAGGAGAACAUACAGACUCAGAUGUCGCAGCACACCCAGUGGAUGAACAUGUUUUCAACUCCUCCACCAGGCCCCAUAUAGGAUACACAGCAUAACCAGGGAGAGUCUGAGAUUCCUCCUCGUCACAUUAGGGCACCCGACAGGUUGGGAUGGUCGCCGCUUCCAGAUCCGCGUCCCCGCCAGGCCAUACGUCGUCACUGACGCUUCUAUCUAUCAGUAGAGACAUUA